rnacentral:rRNA from 1 species
AUGAGGGGCGCCGGGUGGAGGGCGCGGAACAGGCGGCGGAAGGAUGAGGAAGAGCGGAUGGCUCCGAGCCAGGAGCGGCAGGUGAGCGCCGCACGGAUGAGAGCCGGGAGGUUCGGGAGGCGGAGGAAGAUCUCGCGAAGGUCAUCAUCACAGAGGGAUGAUAUGGUUGUGGCGUUGGAGGUGGUUGUGAUGGUUGUUGUUGUUGUGGUGGUGGUGGUGGUUGUGGUGGUGGUGGUAGUGGUGCCAUCGGCGGCAGAGGAGGAGCAUGUGGUGGUGGUGAUUGUUGUGAUGGUUCUGGUGGUGGUUCCGUUGCCGGUGGUAGUGGUGGUAGUGGUCGUGGAUGGGAUCAACGGAGGCUCCACCGGUGCCGCAAGCGUUGCUGUGAGCAGUUCACUGCCCAUUGCUUGA